rnacentral:rRNA from 1 species
AAGAACGACUCUCGGCAACGGAUAUCUCGGCUCUCGCAUCGAUGAAGAACGUAGCGAAAUGUGAUACUUGGUGUGAAUUGCAGAAUCCCGUGAACCAUCGAGUCUUUGAACGCAAGUUGCGCCCGAAGCCAUCAGGUCGAGGGCACGUCUGCCUGGGCGUCACACGU